rnacentral:rRNA from 1 species
UACAGAGGGUGCAAGCGUUGUUCGGAAUUAUUGGGCGUAAAGCGCGUGUAGACGGCAGUGCAAGUCGGGUGUGAAAGCCCUCAGCUCAACUGAGGAAGUGCGCCCGAAACUGCAUUGCUUGAGUACCGGAGAGGAUGGCGGAAUUCCCGAAGUAGAGGUGAAAUUCGUAGAUAUCGGGAGGAACACCGGUGGCGAAGGCGGCCAUCUGGACGGAUACUGACGCUGAGACGCGAAAGCGUGGGUAGCAAACAGG